UACGUAGGGGGCAAGCGUUGUUCGGAUUCAUUGGGCGUAAAGGGUGCGUAGGCGGUCGGGUAAGUCUGAUGUGAAAUCUCACAGCUUAACUGUGAAACUGCAUUGGAUACUAUCCGGCUCGAGGAAUGGAGGGGAGACUGGAAUACUUGGUGUAGCAGUGAAAUGCGUAGAUAUCAAGUGGAACACCAGUGGCGAAGGCGAGUCUCUGGACAUUUCCUGACGCUGAGGCACGAAAGCCAGGGGAGCAAACGGG
rnacentral:rRNA from 1 species